GCGCUCCAGUCCUGGCUGCGGCAUCUACCACCCCAUUGAUCACCAGAGUUGAUUCGGCUGAUCUGGCUGGCUAGGGAGGUGUCCCCUUCCUCCCUCACCGCUCCAAGUGCAUCCCUCCCGAAGCUGCAGGCUCGGAUAAAGAGGAUGGCCUUCCCCGAAUAAAAGACAAUACUAGCAUAUAUAAACAAUCGUUUUAUAUUCUAAGACAUUG
rnacentral:sRNA from 1 species